rnacentral:rRNA from 1 species
GUCUAUGGCCAUGCUACCCUGAACAAGCCCAAUCUUGUCUGAUCUUGGAAGCUAAGCAGGGUUUGGCCUGGUUAGUAUUUAUAUGAGAGACCACCUAGGAAGACCAGGUGCUGUAGGCA